rnacentral:rRNA from 1 species
AUUGAACGCUGGCGGCAGGCCUAACACAUGCAAGUCGAACGGUAACAGGAAGCAGCUUGCUGCUUCGCUGACGAGUGGCGGACGGGUGAGUAAUGUCUGGGAAGCUGCCUGAUGGAGGGGGAUAACUACUGGAAACGGUAGCUAAUACCGCAUAAUGUCGCAAGACCAAAGAGGGGGACCUUCGGGCCUCUUGCCAUCGGAUGUGCCCAGAUGGGAUUAGCUUGUUGGUGGGGUAACGGCUCACCAAGGCGACGAUCCCUAGCUGGUCUGAGAGGAUGACCAGCCACACUGGAACUGAGACACGGUCCAGACUCCUACGGGAGGCAGCAGUGGGGAAUAUUGCACAAUGGGCGCAAGCCUGAUGCAGCCAUGCCGCGUGUAUGAAGAAGGCCUUCGGGUUGUAAAGUACUUUCAGCGGGGAGGAAGGGAGUAAAGUUAAUACCUUUGCUCAUUAACGUUACCCGCAGAAGAAGCACCGGCUAACUCCGUG